rnacentral:rRNA from 1 species
UACGUAGGGGGCGAGCGUUGUCCGGAGUUACUGGGCGUAAAGCGCACGCAGGCGGUCUGCUAAGUUUGGAGUGACAGUUGGUGGCUUAACUGCCAAAGUGCUUCGAAAACUGACAGACUUGAGGGCUUCAGAGGGACACGGAAUUCCCGGUGUAGUGGUGGAAUGCGUAGAGAUCGGGAGGAACACCCGUGGCGAAGGCGAUGGCCUGGACCUCGAGCUGACGCUGAGGCGCGAAAGCGUGGGGAGCGAACAGG